rnacentral:rRNA from 1 species
CCUACGGGAGGCAGCAGUGGGGAAUAUUGCACAAUGGGGGAAACCCUGAUGCAGCGACGCCGCGUGAGUGAAGAAGUAAUUCGUUAUGUAAAGCUCUAUCAGCAGGGAAGAAAAUGACGGUACCUGAGUAAGAAGCCCCGGCUAACUACGUGCAAGCAGCCGCGGUAAUACGUAGGGGGCAAGCGUUAUCCGGAUUUACUGGGGGUAAAGGGAGCGUAGACGGCAGUGCAAGUCUGUAGUGAAAGGGUGCGGCUGAACCCUCGAACUGCUCUUGAAACUGUGCAGCUGGAGUGCAGGAGAGGUAAGCGGAAUUCCUAGUGUAGCGGUGAAAUGCGUAGAUAUUAGGAGGAACACCAGUGGCGAAGGCGGCUUACUGGACUGUAACUGACGUUGAGGCUCGAAAGCGUGGGGAGCAAACAGGAUUAGAUACCCCUGUAGUC